rnacentral:rRNA from 1 species
CAUCUUUAAUAGGAUGUUACGAUUGUGUGAAUACAUAGCACAUUCGAGGUAGACGCAGAGAACUGAAACAUCUAAGUACCUGCAGGAAGAGAAAGAAAAUUCGAUUCCCUGAGUAGCGGCGAGCGAAACGGGAAAAGCCCAAACCAACAAGCUUGCUUGUUGGGGUUGUAGGACUCCAAUAUGGUCGUUCUUUCAGAUAGUCGAAUGACUUGGAAAAGUCAGUCAAAGAGGGUAAAAACCCCGUAGACGAAAUGUGGAAGACACCUAGGAGGAUCCUGAGUACGGCGGAACACGAGAAAUUCCGUCGGAAUCCGGGAGGACCAUCUCCCAAGGCUAAAUACUCCCUAGUGACCGAUAGUGAACCAGUACCGUGAGGGAAAGGUGAAAAGCACCCCGGAAGGGGAGUGAAAUAGAACCUGAAACCGUGUGCCUACAACAAGUCAAAGCCCGUUAAUGGGUGAUGGCGUGCCUUUUGUAGAAUGAACCGGCGAGUUACGAUUGCAUGCGAGGUUAAGUUGAAGAGACGGAGCCGCAGCGAAAGCGAGUCUGAAUAGGGCGUUUGAGUAUGUAGUCGUAGACCCGAAACCAUGUGAUCUACCCAUGUCCAGGUUGAAGGUGCGGUAAAACGCACUGGAGGACCGAACCCACGUACGUUGAAAAGUGCGGGGAUGAGGUGUGGGUAGCGGAGAAAUUCCAAACGAACUUGGAGAUAGCUGGUUCUCUCCGAAAUAGCUUUAGGGCUAGCCUCGGAAUUGAGAAUGAUGGAGGUAGAGCACUGUUUGGACUAGGGGCCCAUCUCGGGUUACCGAAUUCAGAUAAACUCCGAAUGCCAUUCAUUCAUAUCCGGGAGUCAGACUGUGAGUGAUAAGAUCCAUAGUCGAAAGGGAAACAGCCCAGACCACCAGCUAAGGUCCCAAAAUAUAUGUUAAGUGGAAAAGGAUGUGGGGUUGCACAGACAACUAGGAUGUUGGCUUAGAAGCAGCCACCAUUUAAAGAGUGCGUAAUAGCUCACUAGUCGAGUGACCCUGCGCCGAAAAUGUACCGGGGCUAAACAUAUUACCGAAGCUGUGGAGUACACCUUUAGGUGUAUUGGUAGGAGAGCGUUCUAAGGGCGUCGAAGGCAGAUCGUGAGGACUGCUGGAGCGCUUAGAAGUGAGAAUGCCGGUAUGAGUAGCGAAAGACAGGUGAGAAUCCUGUCCACCGAAUGACUAAGGUUUCCUGGGGAAGGCUCGUCCGCCCAGGGUUAGUCGGGACCUAAGCCGAGGCCGAUAGGCGUAGGCGAUGGAUAACAGGUUGAUAUUCCUGUACCCGUUGUUUUUGUUUGAGCAAUGGAGGGACGCAGGAGGCUAAGGAAUGCAGACGAUCGGAAAUGUCUGUCCAAGCAGUAAGUCUGAAGAGGAGUCAAAUGCUUCUUUUCUUAAGGACAAGCUGUGAUGGGGAGGGAAAUAAUAGUACCGAAGUUCCUGAUGUCACACUGCCGAGAAAAGCUUCUAGUGAGAAAACAGCGGCCCGUACCGCAAACCGACACAGGUAGUCGAGGAGAGAAUCCUAAGGUGAGCGAGAGAACUCUCGUUAAGGAACUCGGCAAAAUGACCCCGUAACUUCGGGAGAAGGGGUGCUGAUCAUACGAUCAGCCGCAGUGAAUAGGCCCAAGCGACUGUUUAUCAAAAACACAGGUCUCUGCAAAAUCGUAAGAUGAAGUAUAGGGGCUGACGCCUGCCCGGUGCUGGAAGGUUAAGAGGAGUGCUUAGCGCAAGCGAAGGUACGAAUUGAAGCCCCAGUAAACGGCGGCCGUAACUAUAACGGUCCUAAGGUAGCGAAAUUCCUUGUCGGGUAAGUUCCGACCCGCACGAAAGGCGUAACGAUUUGGGCACUGUCUCAACGAGAGACUCGGUGAAAUUUUAGUACCUGUGAAGAUGCAGGUUACCCGCGACAGGACGGAAAGACCCCAUGGAGCUUUACUGUAGUUUGAUAUUGAGUGUCUGUACCGCAUGUACAGGAUAGGUA